rnacentral:misc_RNA from 1 species
UACGGAGGGAGCUAGCGUUGUUCGGAAUUACUGGGCGUAAAGCGUACGUAGGCGGCUGUGUAAGUAAGAGGUGAAAUCCUGGAGCUCAACUCCAGAACUGCCUUUUAGACUGCAUCGCUUGAAUCCAGGAGAGGUGAGUGGAAUUCCGAGUGUAGAGGUGAAAUUCGUAGAUAUUCGGAAGAACACCAGUGGCGAAGGCGGCUCACUGGACUGGUAUUGACGCUGAGGUACGAAAGCGUGGGGAGCAAACAGG